AGUCGAGGGGCAGCACGGUAUAGCAAUAUAUGGGUGGCGACCGGCAAACGGGUGCGGAACACGUACACAACCUUCCGGUGAGCGGGGGAUAGCCCAGAGAAAUUUGGAUUAAUACCCCAUACUAUAAUGAUCAGGCAUCUGGUUAUUAUCAAAGGCUUCGGCCGCUUAUUGAUGGGUGUGCGUCUGAUUAGGUAGUUGGCGGGGUAGAGGCCCACCAAGCCUACGAUCAGUAGCUGAUGUGAGAGCAUGAUCAGCCACACGGGCACUGAGACACGGGCCCGACUCCUACGGGAGGCAGCAGUAAGGAAUAUUGGACAAUGGACGCAAGUCUGAUCCAGCCAUGCCGCGUGAAGGAUGAAUGCCCUCUGGGUUGUAAACUUCUUUUACAGGGGAAGAAAGUUAUCUUUUUUAGGAUAUUUGACGGUACCCUAUGAAUAAGCACCGGCUAACUCCGUGCCAGCAGCCGCGGUAAUACGGAGGGUGCAAGCGUUAUCCGGAUUCACUGGGUUUAAAGGGUGCGUAGGCGGGUAUGUAAGUCAGUGGUGAAAUACCGGAGCUUAACUUCGGAACUGCCAUUGAUACUAUAUAUCUUGAAUAUUGUGGAGGUAAGCGGAAUAUGUCAUGUAGCGGUGAAAUGCUUAGAGAUGACAUAGAACACCGAUUGCGAAGGCAGCUUACUACGCAAAUAUUGACGCUGAGGCACGAAAGCGUGGGGAUCAAACAGGAUUAGAUACCCUGGUAGUCCACGCCCUAAACGAUGAUUACUCGACAUUAGCGAUAC
rnacentral:rRNA from 1 species